UACGUAGGCAGCGAGCGUUGUUCGGAAUUACUGGGCGUAAAGAGUGUGUAGGCGGUCGACUAAGUUCGGUGUGAAAUCUCCCGGCUCAACUGGGAGGGUGCGCCGAAAACUGGUGGGCUUGAGCGUGGGAGAGGAAAGCGGAAUUCCUGGUGUAGCGGUGAAAUGCGUAGAUAUCAGGAGGAACACCUGUGGUGUAGACGGCUUUCUGGACCACAAGCUGACGCUGAGACACGAAAGCGUGGGUAGCAAACAGG
rnacentral:rRNA from 1 species